rnacentral:tRNA from 1 species
GUGGUUGUAGCUCAGUUGGUUAGAGCGCCUGGUUGUGGCCCAGGAGGUCGUCGGUUCGAGUCCGAUCUACCACCCCA